GAUGAACGCUGGCGGCGUGCCUAAUACAUGCAAGUCGAGCGGAAAGGCCUCUUCGGAGGUACUCGAGCGGCGGACGGCUGAGUAACACGUAGGAACAUACCCCAAAGUGAGGGAUAAGCACCGGAAACGGUGUCUAAUACCGCAUGUGCUCUAAGGAGUAAAGCUUCGGCGCUUUGGGAAUGGCCUGCGCAUGAUUAGCUUGUUGGUGAGGUAAUGGCUCACCAAGGCGACGAUCAUUAGCUGGUCUGAGAGGAUGAUCAGCCAGACUGGGACUGAGACACGGCCCAGACUCCUACGGGAGGCAGCAGUAGGGAAUUUUCCACAAUGGGCGAAAGCCUGAUGGAGCAACGCCGCGUGCAGGAUGAAUGCCUUAGGGUUGUAAACUGCUUUUAUAUGUGACGAAUAUGACGGUAGCAUAUGAAUAAGGAUCGGCUAACUCCGUGCCAGCAGCCGCCGCAG
rnacentral:rRNA from 1 species